AAAGACCCUAUGAAGCUUUACUGUAACUUGAAAUUGAAAUUGGACUUUAUUUGCGCAGUAUAGGUGGAAGGCGUUGAGAUUACUCUUGCGGGAUUAGUGGAGCCAUCAGUGAGAUACCACUCCUAUAAUGUUAGAUUUCUAACUUUGGAUCAUAAUCUGGUCAAAGAACAGUUUCAGGCGGGCAGUUUGACUGGGGCGGUCGCCUCCCAAAUGGUAACGGAGGCGUACAAAGGUUUCCUCUGAACGGGUAGAAAUCGUAUCUAGAGUGUAAAGGCAUAAGGAAGCUUGACUGUGAGACCUACAAGUCGAGCAGGGACGAAAGUCGGUCUUAGUGAUCUGACGGUGCUGAGUGGAAAGGCCGUCACUCAACGGAUAAAAGUUACUCUAGGGAUAACAGGCUGA
rnacentral:rRNA from 1 species